rnacentral:rRNA from 1 species
UACGGGAGGCAGCAGGGGGGAAUAUUGCACAAUGGGCGAAAGCCUGAUGCAGCUAUGCCGCGUGUAUGAAGAAGGCCUUAGGGUUGUAAAGUACUUUCAUCGGGGAGGAAAAAACAAAACUAAUAAUUUUAUUUCUUGACGUUACCCGAAAAAGAAGCACCGGCUAACUCCGUGCCAGCAGCCGCGGUAAUACGGAGGGUGCUAGCGUUAAUCAGAAUUACUGGGCGUAAAGAGCACGUAGGUGGUUUUUUUAAGUCAGAUGUGAAAUCCCUGGGCUUAACCUGGAACUGCAUUUUGAAACUGAAAUACUAGAGUAUCGUAGAGGGAGGUAGAAUUCUAGGUGUAGCGGUGAAAUGCGUAGAUAUCUGGAGGAAUACCUGUGGCGAAAGCGGCCUCCUAAACGAAUACUGACACUGAGGGUGCGAAAGCGUGGGGAGCGAAACAGGGAUUAGAUACC